UGCUCUGCUGACUGCCUAUGGGCU
rnacentral:piRNA from 1 species